UCCAGACUCCUACGGGAGGCAGCAGUGGGGAAUAUUGCACAAUGGGGGAAACCCUGAUGCAGCGACGCCGCGUGAGCGAUGAAGUAUUUCGGUAUGUAAAGCUCUAUCAGCAGGGAAGAAAAUGACGGUACCUGACUAAGAAGCCCCGGCUAACUACGUGCCAGCAGCCGCGGUAAUACGUAGGGGGCAAGCGUUAUCCGGAUUUACUGGGUGUAAAGGGAGCGUAGACGGCGAUGCAAGUCUGAAGUGAAAGGCGGGGGGCCAACCCCCGGACUGCUUUGGAAACUGUAUGGCUGGAGUGCAGGAGAGGUAAGUGGAAUUCCUAGUGUAGCGGUGAAAUGCGUAGAUAUUAGGAGGAACACCAGUGGCGAAGGCGGCUUACUGGACUGUAACUGACGUUGAGGCUCGAAAGCGUGGGGAGCAAGCAGGAUUAGAUACCCUUGUGGC
rnacentral:rRNA from 1 species